UAGGGAAUCUUCCGCAAUGGGCGAAAGCCUGACGGAGCAACGCCGCGUGAGUGAUGAAGGUCUUCGGAUCGUAAAACUCUGUUAUUAGGGAAAAACAAAUGUGUAAGUAACUAUGCCCGUCUUGACGGUACCUAAUCAGAAAGCCACGGCUAACUACGUGCCAGCAGCCGCGGUAAUACGUAGGUGGCAAGCGUUAUCCGGAAUUAUUGGGCGUAAAGCGCGCGUAGGCGGUUUUUUAAGUCUGAUGUGAAAGCCCACGGCUCAACCGUGGAGGGUCAUUGGAGACUGGAAAACUGGAGUGCAGAAGAGGAAAGGGGAAUACCAUGUGUAGCGGUGAAAUGCGCAGAGAUAUGGAGGAACACCAGUGGCGAAGGCGACUUUCUGGUCUGUAACUGACGCUGAUGUGCGAAAGCGUGGGGAUCAAACAGG
rnacentral:rRNA from 1 species